rnacentral:misc_RNA from 1 species
UUUACUCUGAGCCAUUCUGGAGACGGAAGGUGCCUUUUAUAGCCUGCUGAGAUGCAGAGCUGACAAGCAGACCUGUCUCACCAGACAGUUGACCUGAUCUGUCUACAGCGAGGACGUUUCCAUUUUUUUUUGCCGUCCGAUUGAGUUGUUUUUGGGCAAUGUGAUGAAAUUCCAGAAUCCCAAGAGUCGGUUAAGAAAGGCAAUGACGCGUUUAUCGCAUGAGCCCAGUGCGACAGCUCCUGAUUGAGCGUUUGAGCUGAGAAAUCGGCGAGUUCUUUGCAGAAGCGAGUACAACCGCCUGAGCCAAGUGUCUUAAGUCCGUAACCUUUUGUGUCCGGUUGACCGCCAUGUGCUGAAAAAGUGCCGUGAGCAAAGAGCGAGUGAUUGUGCUGACUGACAAAUGUCAGAACCACCUUCGUGCCUUGUGAGUUCUUUAGAACCGCAUUUGCAGCCGCCAGAGCAAAGUGCCAGAGCCAUUGAGCCCGAGCCACCGACUGAGAGGACUCAAGGGUGCAAUUCCUUUUGAGAGGACCAUCAUUCUCACAGGCGAAACUCCUGUUCGAGAUACUCAUACUCACGGGGUGAAACUCCUUUGUGAAAGUCUCAUAGGGUGCAAUUCCUGUAUGAGAAAGCCGCCUAGAACUGAAGAGCCAAGCUGAAAUGCAAGAGCCACUACAGCAGAAAAGCUGAAACUAGAGCAAAGAUCUGCCAGACAGACGCCAUACAUGGUCAAAAGAGCAAUAGAUGCCUGAGUCAGAGCCUGUGAGUCCCGCAGAGGCAUAAGUGCCAAAUCCAGAGCCACUCAAGAGCCAGAGCUGUUACGCCAGUCACUAGAGCUGAAAUGCCAGAGUCAGAGCGAAUGCCAGAGCCGCCAGAGCCGCCAAAGAGCAAAGCCACUAAGUCCGAAGAGCAAUAGGAGCGAAGACGAGGGCAAAGAGCCAGAGAGCAAUAAGUGCCAUACGAGAGCACCAAAGCCACUAAGUCCUUAACGGCAAUAAGAGCACGGUCGCUGAGCAUUGCCAAUGAGUCCACAGAUGCAAUAAGUGCAAAACGCCAGAAAUAAACCAAAGGAGCCAGGGCCCAAGAGCCGAGGCCAGCCAGUAGCCGAUAAGUCCAAAGAGCGAUAAGAGCCGGAGCAUGAGCUGAAGUCAUACUGAAGGAGUAGGCAGUGAACCUCUUGGCAGAGGAUGUAACUGACCGAACCUGUUAUCUAGUUAGAGAGGAGUAGGUGAAAUUCCGAACCUCUUGGGUUAAUAAUAAAUCUUGGACCAUUGAGUUCCACCCGAUUUUCC